GAACCUGGUUGAUCCUGCCAGUAGUCAUAUGCUUGUCUCAAAGAUUAAGCCAUGCACGUGUCAGCAUCAACUUUAGCACGGUUAGGCUGCGGAUGGCUCACUACAACAGUUGUAAUCUCAGCAAUGUUUGGCUGCUAGAUGGAUAACUGUGGAAAACCUAGGGCUAAUACAUGCAUUCCUCCUGACUCAGUGGAAAGGAAGUGUUCAUUAGCAACAGAACUGGCCCAAGUUACGCUUGGUCACAUGAGGAGUCCUGAUGAAAGAGCAAAUUGCACAGCUCUGGCUGGCAAUGGAGUGCUUGAGCUUCUGACCUAUCAGCUUCCGACGCUAGGGUAUUGGCCUACCGUGGCAAUGACGGGUGACGGAGAAUUAGGGUUCGAUUCCGGAGAGGGAGCCUGCCAAACGGCUACCACAUCUAAGGAAGGCAGCAGGCGCGCAAAUUACCCAAUUCUGACACAGAGAGGUAGUGACAAGAAAUAACAAUAUGGGGCAUCCAUGUCCUGUAAUUGGAAUGAGCAGCGUCCAAAUUUCCUUGUGAGGAUCAAUUGGAGGGCAAGUCUGGUGCCAGCAGCCGCGGUAAUUCCAGCUCCAAUAGCGUAUAUUAAAGCUGUUGCGGUUGAAAAGCUCGUAGUUGGUUUUCUGUUGAGGGCAACCAGUCCGCCCACUGGGUGAGUAUCUGACUUGCUCUCGGCAUCUCUCUGGAAAUUGCUGCUGCACUUGACUGUGUGGUGCAUGACCCAGAGCCAUUACUUUGAGGAAAUUGGGGUGUUUCAAGCAGGCCUUGGCUGUUGAACACAUUAGCAUGGAAUAGUCAGCGAGACUCCAGCUCUUUCUUGCUGGUUUCUAGAGCUGGGGUAAGGGUCAAGAGGGAUGGUUGGGGGUAUCCGAACUUGGCUGUCAGAGGUGAAAUUCUUGGAUUUGCCAAAGUCGCACGACUGCGAAAGCAUUUAUCCAAAAUGUCUUCAUUGAUCAAGAACGAAAGUUAGGGGAUCGAAGACGAUCAGAUACCGUCCUAGUCUUAACCAUAAACGAUGCCAACUAGGAAUUGGAGGCUGUCUUCACUUUGACUCCUUCAGCACCAUAAGAGAAAUCAAAGUCUUUGGGUUCCGGGGGGAGUAUGGUCGCAAGGCUGAAACUUAAAGGAAUUGAUGGAAGGGCACCACCAGGAGUGGAGCCUGCGGCUUAAUUUGACUCAACACGUGGAAACUCACCAGGCCCAGACACAGGAUGGAUUGACAGAUUGAUCGUUCUUUCAUGAUUCUGUGGGUGGUGGUGCAUGGCCGUUCUUAGUUGG
rnacentral:rRNA from 1 species